rnacentral:rRNA from 1 species
CAGCACCUCAAGUGGUCAGGAUGAUUAUUGGGCCUAAAGCAUCCGUAGCCGGCGCUGUAAGUUUUCGGUUAAAUCUGUACGCUCAACGUACAGGCUGCCGGGAAUACUGCAGCGCUAGGGAGUGGGAGAGGUAGACGGCACUCGGUAGGAAGGGGUAAAAUCCUUUGAUCUAUUGAUGACCACCUGUGGCGAAGGCGGUCUACCAGAACACGUCCGACGGUGAGGGAUGAAAGCUGGGGGAGCAAACCGGAUUAGAGACCCGAGUAGUCC